rnacentral:sRNA from 1 species
GGCCAGAGGUUGACACCAGUCUUCUCCACCUUAUGCUUUGAGACAGAGACUCCCACUGAGCCUGGAUCUGCCUGUUUCCAUCCCUCAGCCCUGAGGUUAUAGAAGUGUGCCACAACACCCACCUUUUAAUGAGGGGCUGGGAAUCCAAAUUCAUGACCAUAUACCUUCGUAGUAAGUGUUUUAUCCACUGAGCCCUCUCUCCAACCCAAGUUUCUACACUCUUGCUAAGAGUGCAAAAGACUGGAUGUAAGCAAGUCUUAGGCAUCUGGGUUGCAACUGUACUCUGUUGUCCACAUUUUAGGUUGUGACUGGAUAUUAGAAUCUGGAAAUAUUCUAUCCAAUCCUGUGAAGGACUUGAUAGAAUCUAUCAGAAGAUAGUUUAUCUGAAUAAUCUACAGCAAAUAGAUUGCUUUACCCAUUCAAGUCUGCACUUGUAUUGAUUCAGGCCACUGUCACAUGUUCACUGUGUUGUUUUGGACUCUGACACAUACGUUUCAUUGUGUUAUGCUUUGAGGUACAUUUUAUAGACAACUGUAAGCCACAAACAUGUGGAAGCUGUUGAUUCCCAGGUAGAGAAGGAGUCAAGGACUCCCUCCAAACUGCCACACAGACCCACCAUCUUCUCGUUCUCCGUUCUCCCGCAGAGGCUCACAAUGAAGAUGAGGCCAGAAACAAGUACAGGCAAACACUGGGAAGACUCUAGAAGCUGCUGCAUACAAUGGCUGAUAAGGAACACAGAAAUCACAAUUGCUGAUGACAUUGCUGCUGGCUUUCAAAAGAGACAGUUCAGGGCCUUCUGGUAAUAUCUCAAGAAUGGUUUUAAAAAAAGAAUUAUAUACAUUUCAGUGCAACCUUAAAGUAUUCAUGGGUACUGCGUUUCCCCAGUGUUUUGAAAGAAAGCCUCAAGAAGCCAGAUCCAUACAUAUUUAGUUUAAAUUAAGUGUGCCACAAGUAUACAUUCCAAUGCCAUACCGUCAGUUUCUUAUCGCUCAUAAAGGCAACAAAUGUAAGCAUGCCCUUUCUUUACCUUCCCUGUGCUCAUCUACAGUUUUCUUUGCCAUCAGAGACAAGUAGUUAUUAUUAUUGAGCAUUUUUAUGGUUAUUAUUCAAUUUAACUCACAGUCCCUUCACAGAGCUCAGAGCAUAGCGCUCAUCAAAAACACAGUUGCCACUGCCCUUUUGGUGACAAUGUUCAUGGGGCUGGCUGCUGGCCUCAGUGCUCUGUGAGGCUCUAGGUAUCCAUGGACCUCAGGGCGCAGGCAGUCUUUACUCCCCAGUGGAAAAGCAUACAGCUCAGCCUACAACUUCGGCUCCAGGACAGUUUCUUUAUUCCAUAGGAACUGCUAUGAGGACAGGGUAGUUUGGAAGUCACCUUCUGUGAGUUGCUUGCUUACCCUUCUAUGAGAUCCUACGUUGUGUGUCCUUCCUGUUUUAGAUUACCUGGCUGACCUUAUCCUAGGCAGUGGCUUGGUUGCUCUUUUGUUCAUGCACAUGUGGCAGUGUGGGCACUGGACAACACAGGCAAACCCACGAGUAAUUCCUUCUCUGUAUUUACUAUGAAUCGUUGGGACCAAGUUCUGCCGAUGUGUCCUCUCCCAAUAGUCUUCUCACUAGUGACGCUAACUACUAACCCUUCACCCCCCCCCCCACCGAAUAAUUUAUUAAUGCCUCUCUGAUGUCGAAUCUGGGGGAGAUUUAUUCAUGUGUCAAUUCAGCAGUUAGUGUUUAUUAACUCCUGCAGAAUGAACAUUUUACCAUGCAGGAAACACAUGCAGUUACAUGAGGCAUUUGGUUUGUGCCUUACCAUAGAAAUGGACAAGGAGGAGUCAUUUUUAUCCCCUUUAAUCUGAAGAAGUUGGCUUGUCCAUCCGGGUGCAUCUGGAUAGCCCCUCAGCUAUGGGGUGACUUCACCAUGUGUCCAGCUCUCUGUACACCCAUGGGGAGAGGCCUCCUUCUUUCACAUGUGGGACUUAGAAUACGCCCAUGGAGACUAGCAAUGACUUCCUUCUUGGCUCUGAGCAUUUCCUGGGUUUUCUGAUAUUGCUCUGUGUGGAAGAGGAUUGGCCUGGCUCUUAAGACAUAUUAGUAGAUGGAUGGGUUCUACUAAGAAAAGGAAGAAAGGCAGGCAUGCCUGUGGGCACACAGCAGCUAACUCAGCCAGACCUACCUUCCACGGCUAUUGCUCAGUCCUCAGAAUGGCCCUGGGCCCUGGCAGGAAAGGAAGAGGCCACCCAGAGAGGCAUUUCCUAAGGCAAGAUUAAGCAGAGUCUGGGGAGACUGGAUUUGGUCAAAAGGAAAUGGAAGAAGGUAGUCUGUCUCCAACAGAGAGAUUCUGGGACAAGACAGAAUGAUAGGAACCCAACAAAAACAAACCUGUU